CUGAGGCCGAGGCAUCCCACUCAAGACAUCCAGCAUCUGGAGCAUUACCGCGACCAGAGACGCUGUCAUUCAGGCUCUACCUCGUGGAGACGAUGGAUCAACUCAUAAAAGACUGAGACGCUGUUUCACGGGACCUUGCAAUACAAAAGAUGACAAUCUACAGGAACAAGACGAACACGUCGGAGAGUCCAGACGUCGGUAUCGUGUUGGACGGACUAAAGGUUCUGACUGCACUGAGGGACUUUCCAAGGUCUUGCUGUCGGCCGGUUGGGUUUGCGCAUGCAGUCCAUCUUGCACAUUCAAAGAAACUUAAACACAUUUAAGG
ensembl:lncRNA